rnacentral:rRNA from 1 species
AGCUCCAAUAGCGUAUAUUAAAGUUGCUGCAGUUAAAAAGCUCGUAGUUGGAUUUGUGGCGCGGCCGUCCGGCGGGGGUCCUUCUAUGGUCUCGUUUGUCCUGGUUUUCGGCCGCUCCUUUCUCGGGUAGAGCGUAAUGGCUGGCAUUAGGUUGUCGGCCGCUUCGCGCCCGUCGUUUACUGUGAAAAAAUUAGAGUGUUCAAAGCGAGCGAUUGCCAUGAAUACAUUAGCAUGGAAUAAUAGAAUAGGACCUGAUCCUGUUUUGUUGGUUUGUCGGUAUUAGGUAAUGAUUAAGAGGGACGGUCGGGGGCAUUUGUAUUCCAGGGUUAGAGGUGAAAUUCUUGGAUCCUUGGAAGACAAACAGCUGCGAAAGCGUCUGCCAAGGACGUUUUCAUUGAUC